CCCUCCUACAAAGGCGUGUCUUUUGUUCACUGUCAUUAGACACGUAAGAAUUGGAGGCAAAGAAAUGUGAAUUUGGAGAAAUCUAGGGCCAGCUUGCUCUCCGCAGGCUCCAGAUCAACCAUACUACAUAG